rnacentral:lncRNA from 1 species
AGUUUGAAGAAGGGAUCAUUGGGACUCCCCAGUUGACAGACUCCAUAGUAUUACCAGAAAACGUGGAAUUUCUAGGGCAAAAGAUUGACCUCACACCCAUCAAGGGUUUAAUAACUUCUGUACAAGACACAGCAUCAUCAGUAGCAAGGACCAUUUCAAGCCAACCACCAUUGAAGAUUCCCAUCUCAAACAGCAAUGCUCAAUCAUGGUUGCUGACCACAUACCUUGAUGAAGAGCUUCGAAUCUCGAGAGGUGAUGCUGGCAGUGUUUUUGUUCUCAUCAAGGACGGCAGCUCACUCUUGACUCCCUGAAUGAAGUUGAUUUAAUGAAUCUUCCUCUUGAUUAUGGAAGUGCUGGUUUCCCAAUGAUAUGAUGUGAUUAUGCAAUAAUGUAUACAAGUGCGUGUUAUUAAAAUACGAAACAAUAAGC